UUUAGAUGUGCUAGACUAGACGAGUGUACACGGAUAAUAAAAGAGAGUAUGACCCUCUGCCAUUACAUCUGGUAUGAGGAUUGGAAGUGUGCGGAAUGUUGUCAGGGGGACAGAUGUAAUUAUUAUGUCACGCUUGGAUCAUCAACAGUAAGGAGCAGUUUGGGGCUCCUGGCGGUCUCUAUAUUUGCUCUUCUUUACAGAUCUUAGCUCCAUCUGUUUUUAUGGAGCUUUUGGCCUCUGCAACUGUUUAUGGAGCUGAUGGCCUCUGAAACUGUGUUAUAGAGCUGAUGGCCUCUGAAACUGUUUUAUGGAGCUGAUGGCCUCUGAAACUGUUUUAUGGAGCUGAUGGCCUCUGAAACUAUUUUAUGGAGCCGAUGGCCUCUGCAGCUCAGUGAAUGUUGCUCUUCUUUACAUAUCUCAGCUCCUUUAUUAUGAUAGAGCUGUUCAGUUGUUAAACUCAUUGGUAUUUGGUUUUCAAUUUGAGUUCUUAGCUCCAUUUAUCAUCCUGCAGGGCAUAAGCUUAUAGCUACAAAAUCUUUUCUAAGAAAUAAAGCACCUUGAGUUUACCUCUCAUUUAAACAAAAUUAUCCCAUAUUUAUUUUUGAGAGCAAAAAUAAAAGUAAAAAACAAAAGUUUAAAUACACCUUAAACCCCGAGGUAAUAAAAUGGCCUCGUAAGAUAUUGUACGCUACUUUAAUUCUAGUACUACUGUACUGUGUACAUAAUUUGUACAAGAAUUUAUUAAUAUUAACAAGAUCAUUGUACACUGUACAAACUUAAUCACAAAACUAAUAUCAAAAAGAAUCAUUCUGAAAGAUAAUGUUCUCAUGAUUGUAAUAUUUUAUCGAACUUAUUGAUAGCUAAGUAUUGAAAACAGUAAAUAAAUCCAGUGACUACAAA